UGAUCGGCUACAAUCAGAGUCAAUAGUCGGAAUGAAGGAUCAAGAGAGCGGAAUUCACUGGCUGAGAAAUUCCGUAUCCCACUCAUCUGAUGAACCUACUCUGGGAGCUAUUAAGGACUGAACUUAAUCGUACCUCUGCGUUAAAGAGGAAAGUGGAUAAUCACGGGAUUAUCAACAAAGGUGGUACCGCGGAGAACUCUUUUCGUCCUUUUA
rnacentral:ncRNA from 1 species